rnacentral:rRNA from 1 species
AUUGAACGCUGGCGGCAGGCCUAACACAUGCAAGUCGAGCGGAUGAAGGGAGCUUGCUCCUGGAUUCAGCGGCGGACGGGUGAGUAAUGCCUAGGAAUCUGCCUGGUAGUGGGGGAUAACGUCCGGAAACGGACGCUAAUACCGCAUACGUCCUGAGGGGGAAAGUGGGGGAUCUUCGGACCUCACGCUAUCAGAUGAGCCUAGGUCGGAUUAGCUAGUUGGUGGGGUAAAGGCCUACCAAGGCGACGAUCCGUAACUGGUCUGAGAGGAUGAUCAGUCACACUGGAACUGAGACACGGUCCAGACUCCUACGGGAGGCAGCAGUGGGGAAUAUUGGACAAUGGGCGAAAGCCUGAUCCAGCCAUGCCGCGUGUGUGAAGAAGGUCUUCGGAUUGUAAAGCACUUUAAGUUGGGAGGAAGGGCAGUAAGUUAAUACCUUGCUGUUUUGACGUUACCAACAGAAUAAGCACCGGCUAACUUCGUG